GAAUAUUGGUCAAUGGAGGCAACUCUGAACCAGCCAUGCCGCGUGCAGGAAGACGGCCCUACGGGUUGUAAACUGCUUUUGUACCGGAAUAAACCCCCGAACGAGUUCGGGGCUGAAUGUACGGUAAGAAUAAGGAUCGGCUAACUCCGUGCCAGCAGCCGCGGUAAUACGGAGGAUCCAAGCGUUAUCCGGAUUUAUUGGGUUUAAAGGGUGCGUAGGCGGCUUGUUAAGUCAGGGGUGAAAGACGAUGGCUCAACCAUCGCAGUGCCUUUGAUACUGACGAGCUUGAAUGUACUUGAGGUAGGCGGAAUGUGACAAGUAGCGGUGAAAUGCAUAGAUAUGUCACAGAACACCGAUUGCGAAGGCAGCUUACUAAAGUAUGAUUGACGCUGAGGCACGAAAGCGUGGGGAUCAAA
rnacentral:rRNA from 1 species